UACGUAGGGUGCAAGCGUUGUCCGGAAUUAUUGGGCGUAAAGAGCUCGUAGGCGGUCUGUCGCGUCGGCUGUGAAAACCCGGGGCUCAACCCCGGGCCUGCAGUCGAUACGGGCAGACUAGAGUGCGGUAGGGGAGACUGGAAUUCCUGGUGUAGCGGUGAAAUGCGCAGAUAUCGGGAGGAACACCAGUGGCGAAGGCGAUCAUCUGGGGUUGUUCUGACACUGAGGAGCGAAAGCUAGGGGAGCAAACGGG
rnacentral:rRNA from 1 species